CGAAAACCUUACCCACCUUUGACAUGUACGGAAUCCUUUAGAGAUAGAGGAGUGCUCGAAAGAGAGCCGUAACACAGGUGCUGCAUGGCUGUCGUCAGCUCGUGUCGUGAGAUGUUGGGUUAAGUCCCGCAACGAGCGCAACCCUUGUCAUUAGUUGCUACAUUCAGUUGGGCACUCUAAUGAGACUGCCGGUGACAAACCGGAGGAAGGUGGGGAUGACGUCAAGUCCUCAUGGCCCUUAUAGGUGGGGCUACACACGUCAUACAAUGGAUGGUACAAAGGGUCGCCAACCCGCGAGGGGGAGCCAAUCCCAUAAAGCCAUUCGUAGUCCGGAUCGCAGUCUGCAACUCGACUGCGUGAAGUCGGAAUCGCUAGUAAUCGUGGAUCAGAAUGUCACGGUGAAUACGUUCCCGGGUCUU
rnacentral:rRNA from 1 species